rnacentral:tmRNA from 1 species
GGGGCUGAUUCUGGAUUCGACGGGAUUUGCGAAGCCCUAGGAGCAUGCCGAGGGGCGGUUGGCCUCGUAAAAAGCCGCAAAAAAAUAGUCGCAAACGACGAAAACUACGCUUUAGCAGCUUAAUAACCUGCUUAGAGCCCUCUCUCCCUAGCCUCCGCUCUUAGGACGGGGAUCAAGA